UACGUAGGGCGCAAGCGUUAUCCGGAAUUAUUGGGCGUAAAGAGCUCGUAGGCGGUUUGUCGCGUCUGCCGUGAAAGUCCGGGGCUCAACUCCGGAUCUGCGGUGGGUACGGGCAGACUAGAGUGAUGUAGGGGAGACUGGAAUUCCUGGUGUAGCGGUGAAAUGCGCAGAUAUCAGGAGGAACACCGGUGGCGAAGGCGGCUUUCUGGACAGAUACCGACGCUGAGGCACGAAAGCUAGGGGAGCAAACAGG
rnacentral:rRNA from 1 species